rnacentral:rRNA from 1 species
GAUGAACGCUGGCGGCGUGCCUAAUACAUGCAAGUCGAGCGAACGGACGAGAAGCUUGCUUCUCUGAUGUUAGCGGCGGACGGGUGAGUAACACGUGGAUAACCUACCUAUAAGACUGGGAUCACUUCGGGAAACCGGAGCUAAUACCGGAUAAUAUUUUGCACCGCAUGGUUCAAAAGUGAAAGACGGUCUUGCUGUCACUUAUAGAUGGAUCCGCGCUGCAUUAGCUAGUUGGUAAGGUAACGGCUUACCAAGGCAACGAUGCAUAGCCGACCUGAGAGGGUGAUCGGCCACACUGGAACUGAGACACGGUCCAGACUCCUACGGGAGGCAGCAGUAGGGAAUCUUCCGCAAUGGGCGAAAGCCUGACGGAGCAACGCCGCGUGAGUGAUGAAGGUCUUCGGAUCGUAAAACUCUGUUAUUAGGGAAGAACAUAUGUGUAAGUAACUGUGCACAUCUUGACGGUACCUAAUCAGAAAGCCACGGCUAACUACGUG